rnacentral:antisense_RNA from 1 species
GGCGCGGACGCUGACGGUAGACUCCUGCUCGUCCAGUAAAUCAGCCUCGCCGAAAUACUCGCCGUCGCCCAAUAGAGCAAUCCGUAAGUCCUCACCGUGAGGGCCUUUGCUGAUGACCUCGGCCUGUCCGCUGGCUACGAUGAAGAAGCGUUGCUUAUCCUUGCCCUCCUCUACGAAGAACUUAUCCACAUCGACCUCUUUGGCCUCGAACGAGCUGACCAGACGGUUCAGAAUCUCGUCGUCGAAUUCAGAGAACAAGGGGAUGGCCUUCAGGUUCUUUGCUGUAAACGACGGUACGCCGUUCACAUACUGGAUGGGAAGGCGGUCGUUCUUGCGAAGUUCGACCUUCGUGCGGUUCACGCGGAACGUGCCGCCGCUGACCUGCACCCAGGGUAAUAACUUAAGGAGUAAUCUUGGGGUGAUAGAGCCCAUCUGCGGGGCGGUCUUGGUGGUGGUUGCCAGUCUUCUGGCGGUUGCUGUAGUUACAC